rnacentral:rRNA from 1 species
AACGAACGCUGGCGGCGGGCCUCAUACAUGCAAGUCGAGCGCGAAAGUCCGCAAGGAUGAGUAAAGCGGCGCACGGGUGAGUAACACGUGGGUAAUCUACCUUUUGGAUUGGAAUAACCUGUCGAAAGACGGGCUAAUGCCGAGUAAGCCUUCUUGAACGUGAAGUUCGAGACGGGAAAGAUGGCGCAAGCUAUCGCCGAAAGAUGAGCCUGCGUCCCAUUAGUUAGUUGGUGGGGUAAUGGCUUACCAAGACAAUGAUGGGUACCUGGUUUGAGAGAAUGAUCAGGCACACUGGAACUGAAACACGGUCCAGACUCCUACGGGAGGCAGCAGUAGGGAAUAUUGCGCAAUGGACGAAAGUCUGACCUAGCGACGCCGCGUGAGGGAAGAAGGCCUCGGUGUAACUCUGUCAUGGGAGGAAGUAAGUAGAGGUACCCGAACGAGGAAGACCCUCGCUAACUACGUAGCCAGCAGCCGCGGUAACGGAAGUAGUACA